rnacentral:tRNA from 17 species
AGCGAGGUAGUUUAAUUGGUAAAACAUCGGACUUUGACUCCGACGUCGGUGGGUUCAAAUCCCCCUCUCGCCGCCA